GUCACACCUGUACCUUAACUGUACAUUCUGGGCUUAGUAGGUUGAUUCACUCAAGUACUUUGAAAACUAUUAAAGAUCUCUGAACUGAGUCACUGGCUGCUGGUACAAUCAGGACAGAAGUUGUCACUGAUGGAUUCCAGAAGGAGUCUCUGUCACCAUGAAGAAAAGAACAUGCCUGGGUUGCCCACAGGAACCAGGAGAAGGAUGGGAGACAGGUGAACAGACAGAGGCUCCCUGACCAAGUCCAGCCUAGAUGUCAAGACAGCUGCAGACAUGGCACCUCUGUCAUAGGAUCCCCACUGCCAAUGGGUCUGUGAAAGAAGAGGCAGUUCUUACAUCCCACAUAUAUACAGAUGAUUCCAGUUAACUGAAUCAGGAAUCCAACCCUGCCCCCUGCCCUGGAAGCACGGCGUCCCAACUACUGGAUCACCAUGGAAGUCCCUACCAACACCAUUUUUAUUCAACAUUCUAUUGGACCAAAAAUAGUGAAGAUAUUCUUGAAGAAGACCUGGACAAAAAAAGAAAGCGAAAGUAAUAUCCAAGUUACAGUAA
ensembl:lncRNA